rnacentral:rRNA from 1 species
AAUCAACGCUGGCGGCGUGCCUAACACAUGCAAGUCGAACGCGAAAGCCCCGCAAGGGGUCAGUAGAGUGGCAAACGGGUGAGUAACACGUGGGUGAUCUGCCUCAGAGUGGGGGAUAACGACCCGAAAGGGUCGCUAAUACCGCAUAACAUCCUGCGCUUGGAUGCGUGGAGAUCAAAGUUGGGGAUUCGCAAGAACCUGACGCUUAGAGAGGAGCCCGCGGCCGAUAGCUAGUUGGUGAGGUAACGGCUCACCAAGGCAACGAUCGGUAUCCGGCCUGAGAGGGCGGACGGACACACUGGGACUGAGACACGGGCCCAGACUCCUACGGGGAGGCAGCAGUGAGGAAUAUUGGACAAUGGGCGCAAGCCUGAUCCAGCCAUGCCGCGUGAGUGAAGAAGGCC